CCUGUGUGUAUAUGUAUGUAUAUGUGUGUGUGUUUAUAUAUAUGUAUGUGUAUACAUACAGACACACACACACACACACACACACACACACACAC
rnacentral:miRNA from 1 species